rnacentral:lncRNA from 1 species
GUAUCUUCUCAGUUAUCCAUCUCUCUUUCUCUUUUCCAUUACAACUAAUCACCACCACAUCAUUUCCGGCUACCACCGCCAUCAAUUCCGGCCACCUGAAACCUAUCUAAACCCAUCUCCCCGACUUAAAAAACGCACAUGUAACCCAAAAAAAUAGCCUGAACCCUAGCAUAUUCGGAUUUCAGAUCCAGUCUUGUGGAUUUAGAUCCGCCGCCAUCCUGGUCUUUUAAUUCAGAUCUAGUCUUGAGGUAGGUGGGUAUGACCCAAACAGGUUCGCCGCCAACGAACUAGGGCAUGGCCCAAAUCAUUGGCUAGUGGUGGUGGGUGGUUUCCGGCUAUGGUGGAGGUUUCUGGUGGUGGGGGUUUGUGGAUUUGACCAGAGAUUUGGUGGUGGUGCGUAGUGGUGGAGGAUAGGGUUUUCAAAUUUAGAAAAGGGUUUAAAAUUUAAAGAUUGUGGUAAUGGUUGGUUGUGGUGGUUUGAUGUUGGUGUUUGCCGGUGUUCUGUUCUUUAAAAUUAGAUGGUGAAAGCAAAUAUUUUUGUGGGAGAAGAUGAUUUGAAGCAUAUAUCUAAACAUGUUAAUGAGAUAGAUGGAGGUCCUGUAAAUAUAAUCUAAUAUGCUCUUUCUUGAUCCUUUUUUGAUUGUUGUGAUGGGUUUGGUACCACUAGACUUGUUGUUGUUUUUAGUGAGUGCAGGUAAUGAUUUUAUCCCCAAUUUCUUAAUUCUUUAACAAUAGACCUUUAUGAAGAGGUCCGAUAUGGUGUAGUGAUUUGUAGAGCGAGAGAGAGCUGAGGGAGGGGACUGAGUUUCUAGAGAGAGAGAUGAGAUUAUGAUUAUUGUAUAUAUUUUAUAAGUUUUUAGUUUUGUUUUUGUUUUAUUUAUAAAAUAUUUUAAUUAGAUUGGU